AGGGUGCAAGCGUUGUCCGGAUUUAUUGGGUUUAAAGGGUGCGUAGGCGGUUAAUUAAGUCAGUGGUGAAAUCCUGGAGCUCAACUUCAGAACUGCCAUUGAUACUGGUUGACUUGAGUACAGACGAGGUUGGCGGAAUUGAUGGUGUAGCGGUGAAAUGCAUAGAUACCAUCAAGAACACCGAUUGCGAAGGCAGCUAACUAGGCUGUAACUGACGCUGAGGCACGAAAGUGUGGGGAUCAAACAGG
rnacentral:rRNA from 1 species